GACUAAGCGUACACGGUGGAUGCCCUGGCAGUCAGAGGCGAUGAAGGGCGUGCUAAUCUGCGAUAAGCGCCGGUAAGGUGAUAUGAACCGUUAUAACCGGCGAUACCCGAAUGGGGAAACCCAGUGUGACUCGUCACACUAUCAUUAACUGAAUCCAUAGGUUAAUGAGGCGAACCGGGGGAACUGAAACAUCUAAGUACCCCGAGGAAAAGAAAUCAACCGAGAUUCCCCCAGUAGCGGCGAGCGAACGGGGAGGAGCCCAGAGCCUGAAUCAGCAUGUGUGUUAGUGGAAGCGUCUGGAAAGGCGCGCGAUACAGGGUGACAGCCCCGUACACAAAAGCGCAUGUGCUGUGAGCUCGAUGAGUAGGGCGGGACACGUGGUAUCCUGUCUGAAUAUGGGGGGACCAUCCUCCAAGGCUAAAUACUCCUGACUGACCGAUAGUGAACCAGUACCGUGAGGGAAAGGCGAAAAGAACCCCGGCGAGGGGAGUGAAAAAGAACCUGAAACCGUGUACGUACAAGCAGUGGGAGCCCCACCACCAAAGCAUUUGCUGUACCGCGUUGACGGAGCGAAGCGACGUCAAACCGAUAAAACAGCAGUGUAAAGUGAGCCGCAGGGCGCUUUGCGCGACAGCGCAAAGGCAGGCGGUUUCGCGUAGCGAAAGCGAAUGCUUUGGGGUGG
rnacentral:rRNA from 1 species